rnacentral:rRNA from 1 species
UACGUAGGGCGCAAGCGUUAUCCGGAAUUAUUGGGCGUAAAGAGCUCGUAGGCGGUUUGUCGCGUCUGCCGUGAAAGUCCGGGCUCAACUCCGGAUCUGCGGUGGGUACGGGCAGACUAGAGUGAUGUAGGGGAGACUGGAAUUCUGGUGUAGCGGUGAAAUGCGCAGAUAUCAAGGAGGAACACCGAUGGCGAAGGCAGGUCUCUGGGCAUUAACUGACGCUGAGGAGCGAAAGCAUGGGGAGC